ACUCUAGAGAUAGAGCUUCCCCUUCGGGGGCAAAGUGACAGGUGGUGCAUGGUUGUCGUCAGCUCGUGUCGUGAGAUGUUGGGUUAAGUCCCGCAACGAGCGCAACCCUUAUUGUUAGUUGCCAUCAUUCAGUUGGGCACUCUAGCAAGACUGCCGGUGACAAACCGGAGGAAGGUGGGGAUGACGUCAAAUCAUCAUGCCCCUUAUGACCUGGGCUACACACGUGCUACAAUGGGAAGUACAACGAGUUGCGAAGUCGCGAGGCUAAGCUAAUCUCUUAAAGCUUCUCUCAGUUCGGAUUGCAGGCUGCAACUCGCCUGCAUGAAGCCGGAAUCGCUAGUAAUCGCGGAUCAGCACGCCGCGGUGAAUACGUUCCCGGGCCUUGUACACACCGCCCGUCACACCACGAGAGUUUGUAACACCCGAAGUCGGUGAGGUAACCUUUUUGGAGCCAGCCGCCUAAGGUGGGAUAGAUGAUUGGGGUGAAGUCGUAACAAGGUAGCCGUAUCGGAAGGUGCGGCUGGAUCACCUCCUUU
rnacentral:rRNA from 1 species